rnacentral:misc_RNA from 1 species
AAAUGUUAAAAUUCUCUCAGUAUAUUAAGAACACCAAAACGCCAGCUAGAUGUAUCACCAACCUGCAUUCCUUCUGCACCGCUAAUGCCAACUCCAAUGUCCGCUUCUUGGAUCAUCCCAACAUCAUUUGCACCAUCACCAAUUGCUAAUGUGGUUUUCCCAGUUCCUUCCUUUACUAACCUAGUAACCAAGGCCUUCUGCUUAGGAGAGACACGGCAGCAAAUGACAGAUGCACAGCUGACUGCUAAAUUCAAAAAAU